UGGUUUUUGGUUCGUAACGGGUGUUUGGAUGUCUGCUUGCGCAGAUCCUUUCAUGCGUUCUUACCUCUUCAGUUGUGUUACAAGGCGAUUUUGCCUUGGACAUAAGUGGGUUCCUGUGUUGCAUACCUAAUCGAUGGCAUUGUCUUGUUUGAACAAAGUUGCCUUUCGUUAAGCAUCGCUUGCGGUGCCAACGAACCUCGAAGCUGUCUUUGUGGUCCAUGUUCUCGCUGCGGAUGCGUCGAUGGCAUGGCCCUAUAAAGCGUUGCUUGGUCUCUUGGAUAUGGAACCUGGUGUGGGCACAUGGUCAGUCAUGAUCAUGUAUUUUGCCCUACAUGAGCGUUUCGCUUCUCUAGACGACUGUCUAUCUUGCAUUGACUUGUUGGUGCAGGGUCGGCUAAGUCGAAGAGGAAUGCUACCUGGU
rnacentral:misc_RNA from 1 species